GCGGCGUGCAUAAUACAUGCAAGUCGAGCGAACAGAUGAGAAGCUUGCUUCUCUGAUGUUAGCGGCGGACGGGUGAGUAACACGUGGGUAACCUACCUAUAAGACUGGGAUAACUCCGGGAAACCGGGGCUAAUACCGGAUAAUAUUUUGAACCGCAUGGUUCAAUAGUGAAAGACGGUUUCGGCUGUCACUUAUAGAUGGACCCGCGCCGUAUUAGCUAGUUGGUAAGGUAACGGCUUACCAAGGCGACGAUACGUAGCCGACCUGAGAGGGUGAUCGGCCACACUGGAACUGAGACACGGUCCAGACUCCUACGGGAGGCAGCAGUAGGGAAUCUUCCGCAAUGGGGCGAGAAGCCUGACGGAGCAACGCCGCGGUGAGUGAUGGAAGGUCUUCGGAAUCGGAAAACUCCUGUUGUUAGGGAAAGAACAAAAUUUGUUAGUAACUGACAAGUCUUGACGGUCCUAACCUGAAAGCACGCCUACUACUGCCCACAGCGGGGUA
rnacentral:rRNA from 2 species